rnacentral:lncRNA from 1 species
CGGCUGGGGGCUUUAUUAGGGGGCACCGGGGUCUGCUUUCCGACUCCCUUCCGACUCCGCGCCUGCGCAGGAAGCGAUUUGGGGAGUGUUGUGAAUUCCGAGGGCUCCACACUUAAGAGGUUGUACACUCACCUGUCUACCUGGACUCCAAUUUCCAUAUUUCCAGCCACUUGAGGACUGAGAGGUGGAUGAUAAACCCUGUCAUAGUGGAGCAAGUUCAGGUGUUUAACCGCUGUUAUGGGGGAUCUGCCUUUUCUCCCUCUUCUUUCUUACUUCCAUAAGUAUGUAUGUGCAGAGAUUGAAAAAUAACCUUGAGAGAGUCCAUCCAUCUAACUCCAGUUCAUUGGAAAUUUCUGCUUCUUUGAGACUGAGGUUAUAUUCCACUUCUUCUGACUACACCACCACCAUCAAUCUCCUUCUCUGAACUCUUGGAUCAUUACUUCAACCUGAAACAACUCAUCAGAAUAGUUGCCUACUGCCCCAACCCCACCAAAUGUUCCAGCACCUCUGAUAUUACCUCACAUGGCAAGAGGGCUUUGAAGAUGUGAUUGAGUCAAGGAUCUUGAAUGGGGAGAUUAUCCUGAAUUAUUCAGCUGGACCCAGUGUAAUCACAAAGGUUUUUCAAAGAUGGAAGAGAGGCAGAAGAGCCAGAAAAGGAUAUGUGACAAUGGAGUCAGUGUCAGAGUUGGAGUGACGUGAUGUGAGAAGGAUUCAACCUGCUGUUUCUGGCUUUGAGGAUGAAAGAAGGGGCCAUGAGCCAAGCAAUACAGGUGGCUUCUUUCAAGAAGUUGGAAAAGGUAAGGAAAUGGGUUCUCACCUAGAACUGCUGGAAAGCAACCCAGCCCUACUGACACCAUGAUUUUAGCUCAGUGAGACUCUGUCCAGAUUUCUGACCUCUAGAACUAUAAGAUAAUAAAUUUGCAUUGUUUUAAGCCA